rnacentral:rRNA from 1 species
GGAAUAUUGCACAAUGGGGGAAACCCUGAUGCAGCCAUGCCGCGUGUGUGAAGAAGGCCUUCGGGUUGUAAAGCACUUUCAGUAGGGAGGAAAGGGUGUAGCUUAAUACGCUAUAUCUGUGACGUUACCUACAGAAGAAGGACCGGCUAACUCCGUGCCAGCAGCCGCGGUAAUACGGAGGGUCCGAGCGUUAAUCGGAAUUACUGGGCGUAAAGCGUGCGCAGGCGGUUUGUUAAGCGAGAUGUGAAAGCCCUGGGCUCAACCUAGGAAUAGCAUUUCGAACUGGCGAACUAGAGUCUUGUAGAGGGGGGUAGAAUUCCAGGUGUAGCGGUGAAAUGCGUAGAGAUCUGGAGGAAUACCGGUGGCGAAGGCGGCCCCCUGGACAAAGACUGACGCUCAUGCACGAAAGCGUGGGGAGCAAACAGGAUUAGAUACCCCUG